AUUCAAAUAUCUUAUGUAGAGUAUAACACUGAAGAUGUUAUUGAGAUAUUAAUUAUCUUUGAAUA
rnacentral:tRNA from 1 species